UACGAAGGGUGCAAGCGUUAGUCGGAAUUACUGGGCGUAAAGCGUGCGUAGGUAGUUUCUUAAGUCCGUUGUGAAAGCCCUGGGCUCAACCUGGGAACUGCAGUGGAUACUGAGAGGCUAGAGUGUGUCAGAGGAUGGUGGAAUUCCCGGUGUAGCGGUGAAAUGCGUAGAGAUCGGGAGGAACAUCAGUGGCGAAGGCGGCCAUCUGGGACAACACUGACGCUGAGGCACGAAAGCGUGGGGAGCAAACAGG
rnacentral:rRNA from 1 species